rnacentral:rRNA from 1 species
UACCAGCUCUCCGAGUGGUAGGGAUGAUUAUUGGGCUUAAAGCGUCCGUAGCCGGCUUAGCAAGUUUCCUGUUAAAUUCAGCGACCUAAUCGUUGAGCCGCGGGAAAUACUACUAGGCUAGGAGGCGGGAGAGGUCGACGGUACUUCUGGGGUAGGGGUGAAAUCCUAUAAUCCCGGGAGGACCACCAGUGGCGAAGGCUGUCGACUAGAACGCGCUCGACGGUGAGGGACGAAAGCUGGGGGAGCGGACCGGAUUAGAUACCCGGGUAGUCCCAGCUGUAAACGAUGCGGGCUAGGUGUUGGGGUGGCUACGUGCCACUUCAGUGCCGCAGGGAAGCCAUUAAGCCCGCCGCCUGGGGAGUACGGCCGCAAGGCUGAAACUUAAAGGAAUUGGCGGGGGAGCACCACAAGGCGUGAAGCUUGCGGUUC